rnacentral:lncRNA from 1 species
GAAAACAUGGAAUUGUAUAAUUGAAAUAAGCACGAAUUUUCAAACGAAUUACACAACAAAAAUCAUAUGCUCCAAAUAUAGGCCUAGCCUUAGUGUUAAUCAACGACAGAAUCACCCUUUCUUAUCAGAGGAAAAUAAAAAGGACUAACGAUCUUUUUAGAUCAAAAAGUAAAUUUUGAAGAAUAAACUAACCUCACAAAUUUAACUCGCUUGAAAUUCAUAACUCUGGCUGUUUGAAUGCAGAGAGUCCCUUAAGCGAACCUUGAGAUUAAGCUUUACUUCAUUCACGAAUACAAGCCCUGUAAACCCCAAGUUUAAAUUUGUAAUGCCAAACAGUUAUGAGUAACAGGGUAUGAAUUAACAUAUAUUAUUCGUCAAUGCAUGUAAACUAAUAGGGACGACAACCCAGACGCCAUCCACACACCUAAUACCAUCUAAUCUCCCUUUUUCCUUUCUGACGGUCAGCAUAGGACACAAGUGGCAUUAAGUAAAGUUUUUCUUAUAUCCUGCUUUAGAUUUUUAAAAAACGGAGUGGAUUAAAAUCUUCAAUUAGAACCAUUUUUUUAAAAGGAAAGUUGAAUGAAGCAGAGAGAGUUGACUAAUUCAUCUGAAACCGAAGAAAACGUUUUAUAGACUAAAAAGGUAACGAUCUCAGUGAUGGCAGUUUAAACAGAAGAAGAAAAAGGAAAAUUAAUAAUGGUUGACAAACCACAAGAACAACGAUAAAAGUCAUGCUUCUCCAUUUUCUCUAAAAAAAAAAAAAUUAUGGUAACAUAAAAAAUGCUUUGUACGGAAUGGUACCAAAAAGGGAAAGAAGAAAAGCGACGAAGACCCACCUCAAGGAAGGGAGUACGGUUGGGUUGAAGGAGACGAUGUUGCUUCCAGUUAUGGAACUUUUUGCCAGUUGUAAAAAUUUUUCUCGGUAACCAAACACAGGGGGUGGAAGACGUUGUUCUACCGGAGAAACAAGAAAAGAAUGGUUAAGAAAUGGAAGAAUCAGGAGAGAAAAGAAAUAUAGGUUCAGAAAUAACGUGUUGGAGAAGAAAGUUCGCGGAGAGAGGGUGUGUAGUAAUGGCAGUUUAUAGUUUCUACGUACGGGUUCGGAAGAGAGCAGAGAGGAAAGGAGGGGGAAAAUCGAGAAGACGCAGUCAUUAGGAAAGAGAAGUAAA